UACGUAGGGGGCAAGCGUUGUCCGGAUUUAUUGGGCGUAAAGAGCGUGUAGGCGGCCAGGUAGGUCCGUUGUGAAAACUGGAGGCUUAACCUCCAGCUGUCGAUGGAAACCAUCUGGCUAGAGUCCGGAAGAGGAGAGUGGAAUUCCUGGUGUAGCGGUGAAAUGCGCAGAUAUCAGGAAGAACACCCGUGGCGAAGGCGGCUCUCUGGGACGGUACUGACGCUGAAACGCGAAAGCGUGGGGAGCGAACAGG
rnacentral:rRNA from 1 species